rnacentral:misc_RNA from 1 species
UAACAUGUCAAUAUCUAGAAAUUUAAAUCUACAAUUUCGAGAUUGCCGCUACUGCUGUCAAUACUGUUGACAAAAACACAUUAGCAUUUUUCACAAUUGAAAUUGUAACUCAGUGAAUGAGCUGAAGACCAUGGACGAGUUUUCAGCUCCAUACACCAUACCCAUUGAUCCCAUGGGGAUCAACUGGGCUCAUGUUAACCCCCGAGGUUCUUACCUUCACUUCAUUCCAAAUCAGAGAUGCUGUCGUGGAAUCCAGGCUCAGCAUGUUACUUCCAGCUGGAGAUCCUUCCAAAGUAAGUCUUCCAUGACUCUCAUUUGAAGUGAGGCAGCUCUCAGUGGAG